AGAUUUGCUCUUGCAAAGAAAUUCCAAACAUUGUGUGUAAGGAAUUGGACUAUUGUCGAUAUUAGUAUACAUUGGUGUAAUUUAUGCGAUGUUAUGGAUGUUUUGUAAUGAUCGUUCGAGUUAAUUAGACUGUCAGGUAGUUUUUAAAUAAUGCUAAGAUCAACUUAAAAUUAUAUUGCUGAAGUGCAAAUGAGAAGAGAACAAGACACAAGGGACAGCACAGGCUAAAGAAUAGACAAAUUGGCAUGGGUUAAGGAUUACAAUUGGCCAUAGCCCAAGGGAACCAUAAAUUAUUUUCAGAAGUUUUUUUCACUUCUUAACUUUCUGUUAACUCUCUUAUAGUCACAUUCAUAACAUAGAUCACGUGUGCAAUUGAAUAAAGCAAAAUUCUAUAUCUGUUACAAAUCUUGGCUUUAGUUUCCAUUUUUCAGUGAGAUCGCAGAAAAUUCUUCAGAGAUUGCAGUCCAUACUCCUCGAUCACAAAAUGCCUUACAAUUAUCCAUCUCUGCUUCGAUAGAGUUCCCCCAAAUCUCACUUCCUUUUGAGUUUACUUUAAAUGAAAUACGUUUCGCGUAAAAUUUCCUCAUGAUAAAAUUUCUUUCAGAUAAAAAUUUCUCUCGUCAAUAAUGUUCGGCGUGGUCAUGGUUCCCAGCGAAAGUUGCUAGUAGAAGAACGACGAAUUAUUAUAUCCCUCGGGUGGCGCAACGUCAGUCGACCAAGUGCACUUAAGCUCGAACAUGAAUGUAAUUCUCGCACGCUCGCGCGAGCCUAUCGUCACACAUGCGAAACACGUAUACACGAGGUAAAACACAGGGAAACAGCAGCGUGGCCGCGGUUUCGAAGCAUGCAUGCCAGUCAGGCUUCGUUCAAAGGCCCCCGAUUAAAUCUCACCUGGCUUAAUAUUAUUAUUUUACGUGGCGCCUGCGAGUGAAAACGAGCGACCCGACGAGAGGGCGAGGAAAUUAGAGAGAGUGCGAGGGGCGGGCAGGGAAGGUUGGAUAAUGCCAGUGGAUAAAAGCAAAUGGAACAGUGCAGGAAACACUGGCCGAAUAUCGUUCACGUGAACGAUCUUUGUACCGUCUAUGCAACCGUAAUUCCAGUUAUUUAGCCUCUCCUCCGACCUCCCCGGUUAUUCGUGAGUAGAAACAUUGUUCUGACUAGGUGUUUCCAGGUCUAUUACUACUCAAAACUAUCCAAGAACUGUUCAAAAAGAUGCUUUCGUCAUUAAGGAGUCGUUCGAUUGUUGUUUGCAAUUUAUUGGGUUCGCAACUAAGUAAUUGCGGAUUUUGUCAAUGUCAUCUAAUGACAAAAUCCGCAACCACUUAGUUGGCAAUCCAAUAUUAGAUUUUUUUGAGGUCGGUGGAGGAAUGUAUAGAGUAAGGAGGUAGGAAUUAAAUGAAGCUUUUACAGAAUCCAGAUGUUGCAUGGUUUUCACCCGUUCAUUGUGAAUCAGAUUUUUGUUACAUAUAAAUUGCCUUGUUAACAAAUAGUUCUGCGCCACACCUGUAUCUAUGCAGUUAAUCUUUAUAUGUACAUAAAUUGUAAUCAUUCGAACAUCUAUUACGUUCAUUAUAUCUAUUACAUCUAUCACACUAUGUAUACAGUGGUUCACGUGGAAGUAUUAUUAUAUAUACAUAAUGUAUUAUAUUAUACAUGUUACACGAGACAUUUUGAAAUAUCACGAGUAAAGAUAUGAUUGUAUUGGUUGCACAAAAGGUUUAGUUUUUUACGGCGAGUGUUCAAAUAUUGUUGGUAAAUUGUACAUGUCUUAAAGUUAAAUAUUCGUCGAUUAUUCAAGUGCUACGAAAAUAUGUGCGUUAUUGUAUAUCUGAUAGAAGUGGACAUUCGGUUUGUAUCACGCAUCUAAGUUGGUAUCAUACACAUAUCUUGAAAGUACGUGUCGACUGGUCAUGUGUAGUGAAUGUGUUAAUUACAAGUUUUAAUCGGUUCGUUUCAUUAUAUGUACGUUGAUAAUUCGUUCUGAAAGCAGGGGAAAAAGGAGAAGAUCGAAUCGAAAAUAAAACAGGAGAGGUAAAACGAAUUGAGAUCGAGUCUCUGCGAAAACAUUAAGAUCAAUCUGGUUUAGAGUUCCUACUCUCGAUCCGGUUCUUCGAGGAUGCGUUUAUUAAUCGUAGAAUUGCGAUCCUGCAGGUCGAUAGGGAAAAUAUUGCUAUGUAAUAUGUAGCCAUUCGGUUUUCAUCGUUAUAAUUUAUCAAUUGCUAAAUAAUUAUGCCACCUAUAAUAGCACAAAGUAUCGUAUUCUGUGAUACCUACACAAUAAAUUUAACGCAGGAACUCUAGUCACGAUAGUCUUCAAUUCUUCAGAUACAAAAUUCAAGAAAAUUUUCUUCUAACCUAACAUUAAAUUAUGUAA